rnacentral:rRNA from 1 species
GUGCCAGACUCCUACGGGAGGCAGCAGUGAGGAAUAUUGGUCAAUGGACGGAAGUCUGAACCAGCCAUGCCGCGUGCAGGAAGACGGCUCUAUGAGUUGUAAACUGCUUUUGUACAAGGGUAAACCUGAAUACGUGUAUUCAGCUGAAAGUACUGUACGAAUAAGGAUCGGCUAACUCCGUGCCAGCAGCCGCGGUAAUACGGAGGAUGCGAGCGUUAUCCGGAUUUAUUGGGUUUAAAGGGUGCGCAGGCGGGAGAUCAAGUCAGCGGUAAAAUGUCGGGGCUCAACCCCGGCCGGCCGUUGAAACUGGUUUUCUAGAGUUGGAGAGAAGUAUGCGGAAUUCGUGGUGUAGCGGUGAAAUGCAUAGAUAUCACGAAGAACUCCGAUUGCGAAGGCAGCAUACCGGCUCCAUACUGACGCUGAGGCACGAAAGCGUGGGGAUCGAACAGGAUUAGAUACCCCUGUA